rnacentral:rRNA from 1 species
AUUGAACGCUGGCGGCAUGCUUUACACAUGCAAGUCGAACGGCAGCGCGGGCUUCGGCCUGGCGGCGAGUGGCGAACGGGUGAGUAAUAUAUCGGAACGUACCCAAGAGUGGGGGAUAACGUAGCGAAAGUUACGCUAAUACCGCAUACGAUCUAAGGAUGAAAGCAGGGGAUCGCAAGACCUUGUGCUCCUGGAGCGGCCGAUAUCUGAUUAGCUAGUUGGUGAGGUAAAGGCUCACCAAGGCAACGAUCAGUAGCUGGUCUGAGAGGACGACCAGCCACACUGGAACUGAGACACGGUCCAGACUCCUACGGGAGGCAGCAGUGGGGAAUUUUGGACAAUGGGGGCAACCCUGAUCCAGCAAUGCCGCGUGAGUGAAGAAGGCCUUCGGGUUGUAAAGCUCUUUUGUCAGGGAAGAAAAGGCUGUGGCUAAUAUCCACAGCUGCUGACGGUACCUGAAGAAUAAGCACCGGCUAACUACGUGCCAGCAGCCGCAGUAAGAC